ACCCGGGAUGGAACUUGCGGCUUAAUUUGAUUCAACACGGGGAGAAUUACCCGGUCCCGGAAACUAUGAAGACUAAUAGAUCGAGAGUUCUUUCUUAAUUCGGUGGUUAGUGGUAUAUGGCCGUUCCUUGUUGAUGGAAUGAUUUGCUUGAGUUACUCCAAUAUCGAGC
rnacentral:ncRNA from 1 species